CAGCCGUAAACUAUGCGCGUUAGGUGUAUCGGUGACCACGAGUUACCGAGGUGCCGAAGGGAAACCGUGAAACGUGCCGCCUGGGAAGUACGGUCGCAAGGCUGAAACUUAAAGGAAUUGGCGGGGGGAGCACAACAACGGGUGGAGCCUGCGGUUUAAUUGGACUCAACGCCGGGAAGCUCACCGGAUAAGACAGCGGAAUGAUUGCCGGGCUGAAGACUCUGCAUGACUAGCUGAGAGGAGGUGCAUGGCGUAGACGUCU
rnacentral:rRNA from 1 species